rnacentral:misc_RNA from 1 species
GAUGAAGAACGCAGCGAAAUGCGAUACUUGGUGUGAAUUGCAGAAUCCCGUGAACCAUCGAGUCUUUGAACGCAAGUUGCGCCCGAAGCCAUCAGGUUGAGGGCACGUCUGCCUGGGCGUCACAUAUCGUUGCCCAAUGCCUAUUGCAGUGCAAUAGGAAUUUCUAGGGCGAAUGAUGGCUUCCCGUGAGCGUUGUUGCUUCGCGGUUGGUUGAAAAUCGAGUCCUUGGUAGGGUGUGCCAUGGUAGAUGGUGGUCGAGUUAGAACGAUACCGAUCAUGUGCAUGCUCCCCAAAAUAUGGCCUCUAUGACCCACAUGCGUCUUUUGACGCUCAUGACGAGACCUCAGGUCAGGCGGGGCUACCCGCUGAAUUUAAGCAUAUCAAUAAGCGGAGGA